GAUGAACGCUGGCGGCCUGCCUAAUACAUGCAAGUCGAGCGAACAGACGAGGAGCUUGCUCCUUCGACGUUAGCGGCGGACGGGCGAGUAACACGUAGGUAACCUACCUAUAAGACUGGGAUAACUUCGGGAAACCGGAGCUAAUACCGGAUAAUAUUUCGAACCGCAUGGUUCGAUAGUGAAAGAUGGCUUUGCUAUCACUUAUAGAUGGACCUGCGCCGUAUUAGCUAGUUGGUAAGGUAACGGCUUACCAAGGCAACGAUACGUAGCCGACCUGAGAGGGUGAUCGGCCACACUGGAACUGAGACACGGUCCAGACUCCUACGGGAGGCAGCAGUAGGGAAUCUUCCGCAAAGGGCGAAAGCCUGACGGAGCAACGCCGCGUGAGUGAUGAAGGUCUUCGGAUCGUAAAACUCUGUUAUUAGGGAAGAACAAACGUGUAAGUAACUGUGCACGUCUUGACGGUACCUAAUCAGAAAGCCACGGCUAACUACGUG
rnacentral:rRNA from 1 species